UUUAGCAUUUUUGAAUGAUUUCUGAAGGAUGAUGUGACAAUGAAGAGUGGAGUGAUGACUUUUACUUUUGAACAUUUGUUCAGACACCUCAAACACUAACAGAACACAUUGUGUCUCUGUCCAAGGUGCUGAACCAGGACUUCAGGUUGGACUACUGCAGACUGUGGCAGAGUUUGAUAAAGGGAGACUUGAAAGGCAUCGAGCGUUACAGCUCUAUCCUGUGUUCACUUGUGUCCUCACCGCCCGCUCCUGGACGUCAGUAAAUGUUGGUAUCAGCCAGACACCUGUCACUCAAACUGAGUGCACAGAGAUCUAUAACGUCUGCCUGAGGGGUGAAGUGCAAACCGGUUGUACCCGGGAUGAGAGGGGUGUGUGAUGAUGUUUCCUGCCCGUUUCUUCACGCUGGAGGUGUACAAGUCCUGAAGGAUGUGGAGAUCUGAACGAAUGCGGCGCUGUACAUCCCUCAGAUCAGUGAGCUGCUGAACCGGGUUCCCUGACAGAUGCUGCUGCUUCUGAAAACCAACGACCUGCUGAGAGGCGUCGAGACUAUCCUGCAGACUAGAGCCAGCUCCAGCUCCUUCAUCAGGAUGUCCCGCUGCUGUACUCAUGCUAUCGCCAGAAACCAAGUCUCGGACCAGGUUACUGUAGAUCUCUCUGUUAGAGCGUUGGUCUCUCUGUAUGAACUUAUGGUGUGACUCCACAGCUUCACACUGGCCAGAUGGGUCUGUUACUUCCUCAACUUCCUGUCCUAUUCAAACUGAAAGCCUUGAACCAGGGCAUUACACCCUCUUCACUGAACUCAGGACACUGCCAAGUGCAAUGUUAGCUUUUUUUAAGGUUGAGGGGCUACAGUGGCAUGCAUCACAGAAAACCCCUCACUUCCCCCAGCCUGAAGGCAACAGCCAGCAGUCAGGAAGUCCAACCCUACCAUACUAAUGCCCUCAGGCUAGAGAGAAGAUUUUAGCUGCCAAGCAUCGGAUGAUGGACGCAGUUAUCUGCUCAACAAGUCUCUUCCACAUCACUCUCUGCUCAGCUGCACAGCUGAAACCAAAUUGCUGAAUCCCAGCUUCACCAUCCACCAUAAUGUGUCAUUUACUGUGUCCACAGUUAAUCCUGUCAGGCACGAAUUGCAGCUAUAGUGUGUUUCCAGGAGCCGUGCAAACUUGUAAUU